GGCCUGUUUGUUUCUCCAUCUAGAUGGACCAUCUGGAUGAAGAUGAGAGUUUUGUUUGUUUAGGCACUAAAAGUGCAACUCAUUCAGAUGGAUCAUCCGGAUGACUUUUGGAAAUUUAGGCUUAAUUUUAAAGUCCAUUCAGCUGAACCAAUUUGGAUCAUUUGAAUGGAGAUGGUUCAUUCAAAAUGGUAUAAUGUCUAUUAUACCCCUAAUGUAAUUCAUAAAUUACAAACCUAAACAUAAUAUCAUUUUUGUCACAAACGAAAACUAACAAAACUAUAAAAACACUUUUUCUCGUGCUAAAAACUACUUUUUCACGUCAAAACCCCAAAACGCAUUUUCCCGCUAAAAUUGCAAAAAAAUGUUUUCCCGUCAAAAUUGCAAAAACGUGUUUUUCCGCAAAAACCGAAAACAAGUUUUCAUGCCAAAAUCACAAAAAAAAAUGUUUUCACGCAAACACUCCAAAAUACAUUUUUCCGUCAAAACACAAAAAAACACGUUUUCCCGCCAAAGUCGCAAAC
rnacentral:lncRNA from 1 species